GGGUAGAAAUGCCCUCCUCGCCGCUGGCCUCAGCCACCGUGCACGUGCGCUCUCUGGAAAACCCUGAUUUAAGCCAAAUGUUUUGACUUUCCGAACAACUGCACGCAAUUUGGGGGCUGUCCGGUGGUUGUAAGAGCCCAAGUGCGCCUGGUUGCAGAUUACCCGGGCUGUCUCUUCUGGAAGUAUGGCCCGGGUUAUUUUAUUUUCUUUUUUAAGCUUGCAUCAAAAUAAGUACACGUGCUUGCAAUUUGCCAAUGGAAAGCACAGCUUUUUUAUUUAUUUCAUUUAUUUUUUUUUGUCAAAUCAUUAAAUAGCUGUCAUGUUAUCAUAGGAACAGAUAUUCCUGUGAAAUGUAAAGCAGGAGGAAGGGAAGUGUAAUUGAGGAAGCAAAAGGAAGAGGAAAGUUGAAGACAUGAGGGAGUGGGAUACAUCUUCAGGGCAAGGCAGAGGCCAGGAGAAAGGAAAACUGAGGAGCAUGUCCCUGCUGUUUUCCAGUGUUUGGAUGAUAAAAACCAGCUGUAUAUCAGUUCUAGGCAGCUAACGUGCUUCAGCCUGGUACGCCACCAGUUUGGACUAGUUGAGCAGUCUUUUCGAGAAAGGUUUCCUUCUGCUUCAGCUGACCUACAAAGACACCCAAGUGCUACUGCAGAUCAAAUGACAGGUUCAGCGUCUGCCAGAGUUGAGCUUUUGAGUCUAUAUUCCUUGUUCAUUCACUUGAAAGUCAAUUUUGCAAUAU